UACGUAGGGGGCAAGCGUUGUUCGGAAUUACUGGGCGUAAAGGGCGCGUAGGCGGCACGACAAGUCGGGCGUGAAAGCCCGGGGCUCAACCCCGGAGGGUCUCUCGAUACUGUCGAGCUAGAGUGCGGAAGAGGCAACCGGAAUUCUCAGUGUAGCGGUGAAAUGCGUAGAUAUUGAGAAGAACACCAGAGGCGAAGGCGGGUUGCUGGGCCGACACUGACGCUGAGGCGCGAAAGCCAGGGGAGCAAACGGG
rnacentral:rRNA from 1 species